rnacentral:rRNA from 1 species
AGAGUUUGAUCAUGGCUCAGGAUGAACGCUGGCGGCGUGCUUAAUACAUGCAAGUCGAGCGGCAGCAUGGACUUCGGUCUGAUGGCGAGCGGCGGACGGCUGAGUAACGCGUAGGAACAUACCCCAAAGUGAGGGAUAAGCUCUGGAAACAGAGUCUAAUACCGCAUGUGGUCUUCGGAUUAAAGCUUUAUGCGCUUUGG